GUUUGGUGGGCGGGGCCGUGGCGGGCUCAAAUGGCGGCGGCGCUGGGCGCCUAGGCCGGCGGGGGCCAUGAGCGCCGCCCGGCCCCAGUUUAGCAUCGAUGAUGCCUUCGAGCUGACCCUGGAGGACGCGGGGCCUGAGCCCGAGUCCAGCGGGGUCGCCCGCUUCGGGCCGCUGCACUUCGAACGCCGGGCUCGGUUCGAGGUGGCUGAUGAAGACAAGCAGUCCCGGCUACGCUACCAGCUCGCAGUGGUCCUUCAGCACCAUCAGCAGCAGCACACAGCGCUCCUACAACGCCUGCUGCAGCUGGACCCAACAUCCUUUGAUCCAGAAAAACCGCCGGGUAGUGCUGGCCUCCUUCCUGCUUCUGCUGUUGGGGCUAGUGCUUAUCCUGGUCGGCGUGGGACUGGAGGUGGCCCCCUCUCCAGGUGUCUCCAGUGCCAUCUUCUUUGUGCCGGGCAUCCUGCUGUUAGUCCCAGGAGUCUACCAUGUGAUCUUCAUCUACUGCGCUGUCAAGGGCCGCCGGGGCUUCCAAUUCUUCUACCUGCCCUACUUUGAGAAGUGA
ensembl:processed_transcript Tmem134 transmembrane protein 134